UGCCAGACUCCUACGGGAGGCAGCAGUGGGGAAUAUUGCGCAAUGGGCGAAAGCCUGACGCAGCGACGCCGCGUGAGGGAUGAAGGUCUUCGGAUCGUAAACCUCUGUCAGCAGGGAAGAACGGUCACUGUGCUAAUCAGCAGUGAAUUGACGGUACCUGCAAAGGAAGCCCCGGCUAACUACGUGCCAGCAGCCGCGGUAAUACGUAGGGGGCAAGCGUUAUCCGGAUUUACUGGGUGUAAAGGGAGCGUAGACGGAAAGGCAAGUCAGAAGUGAAAACCCAAGGCUCAACCAUGGGACUGCUUUUGAAACUGUCAAACUAGAGUACGGGAGAGGUAAGAGGAAUUCCUAGUGUAGCGGUGAAAUGCGUAGAUAUUAGGAGGAACACCAGUGGCGAAGGCGGCUUGCUGGACGAUGACUGACGUUGAGGCUCGAAAGCGUGGGGAGCAAACAGGAUUAGAUACCCUCGUA
rnacentral:rRNA from 1 species